GAUGAACGCUGGCGGCGUGCCUAAUACAUGCAAGUCGAGCGAACAGACGAGGAGCUUGCUCCUCUGACGUUAGCGGCGGACGGGUGAGUAACACGUGGAUAACCUACCUAUAAGACUGGGAUAACUUCGGGAAACCGGAGCUAAUACCGGAUAAUAUAUUGAACCGCAUGGUUCAAUAGUGAAAGACGGUUUUGCUGUCACUUAUAGAUGGAUCCGCGCCGCAUUAGCUAGUUGGUAAGGUAACGGCUUACCAAGGCAACGAUGCGUAGCCGACCUGAGAGGGGGAUCGGCCAAACUGGAACUGAGACACGGUCCAGAACCCUACGGGAGGCAGCAGUAGGGAAUUUUCCGCAAGGGGCGAAAGCCUGACGGAGAAACGCCGCGUGGGUGAGGAAGGUUUUCGGAACGAAAAACUCUGUUAUUAGGGAAAAAAAAAUGGGUAGGUAAAUAGGCACGUUUUGACGGUACCAAAUCAGAAAGCAACGGAUAAAUACGU
rnacentral:rRNA from 1 species